rnacentral:rRNA from 1 species
UACGUAGGGACCAAGCGUUGUUCGGAUUUACUGGGCGUAAAGGGCGCGUAGGCGGCGUGUUAAGUCACUUGUGAAAUCUCUAAGCUUAACUUAGAACGGUCAAGUGAUACUGAUGUGCUAGAGUGCAGAAGGGGCAACCGGAAUUCUUGGUGUAGCGGUGAAAUGCGUAGAUAUCAAGAGGAACACCGGUGGCGAAGGCGGAUCUCUGGGCCGAUACUGACGCUGAGGAGCGAAAGCGUGGGGAGCGAACAGG